GAUGAACGCUGGCGGCGUGCCUAAUACAUGCAAGUCGAGCGCGAGAUUGAGGAGCUUGCUCCUCAUGAUCGAGCGGCGGACGGGUGAGUAACACGUAGGCAACCUACCCUUGAGAUUGGGAUAACUACCGGAAACGGUAGCUAAUACCGGAUACGACUUUUCCACAUAAGUGGAAUGGUUAAAAGGCGGAUUUAUCUGCCGCUCAUGGAUGGGCCUGCGGUGCAUUAGCUAGUUGGUGAGGUAGUGGCUCACCAAGGCGACGAUGCAUAGCCGACCUGAGAGGGUGAUCGGCCACACUGGGACUGAGACACGGCCCAGACUCCUACGGGAGGCAGCAGUAGGGAAUCUUCCGCAAUGGACGAAAGUCUGACGGAGCAACGCCGCGUGAGUGAUGAAGGGUUUCGGCUCGUAAAACUCUGUUGUUAAGGAAGAACACUUGAGGUAGUAACUGGCCUUGAGAUGACGGUACUUAACCAGAAAGCCACGGCUAACUACGUGCCAGCAGCCGCCGCAG
rnacentral:rRNA from 1 species